CUAACCCUGAGGCGUGAUGACGAUGCACUACGGUGCAGAAGUAGUUGAUGCCCUGCUUCCAGGAAAAUCCUCUAAGCUCCAGGUAACAUUAAAUCGUACCCCAAACCGACACAGGUGGUCAGGUAGAGAAUACCAAGGCGCUUGAGAGAACUCGGGUGAAGGAACUAGGCAAAAUGGUGCCGUAACUUCGGGAGAAGGCACGCUGGCAUGUAGGUGAAGUCCCUCGCGGAUGGAGCUGAAGCCAGUCGAAGAUACCAGCUGGCUGCAACUGUUUAAUAAAAACACAGCACUGUGCAAACACGAAAGUGGACGUAUACGGUGUGACGCCUGCCCGGUGCUGGAAGGUUAAUUGAUGGGGUCAGCCGCAAGGCGAAGCUCUUGAUCGAAGCCCCAGUAAACGGCGGCCGUAACUAUAACGGUCCUAAGGUAGCGAAAUUCCUUGUCGGGUAAGUUCCGACCUGCACGAAUGGCGUAAUGAUGGCCAGGCUGUCUCCACCCGAGACUCAGUGAAAUUGAACUCGCUGUGAAGAUGCAGUGUACCCGCGGCAAGACGGAAAGACCCCGUGAACCUUUACUAUAGCUUGACACUGAACAUUGAGCCUUGAUGUGUAGGAUAGGUGGGAGGCUUUGAAGCGUGGACGCCAGUCUGCGUGGAGCCAUCCUUGAAAUACCACCCUUUAAUGUUUGAUGUUCUAACUCGGCCCCGUAAUCCGGGGUGAGGACAGUGUCUGGUGGGUAGUUUGACUGGGGCGGUCUCCUCCCAAAGAGUAACGGAGGAGCACGAAGGUUAGCUAAUCACGGUCGGACAUCGUGAGGUUAGUGCAAAGGCAUAAGCUAGCUUGACUGCGAGAGUGACGGCUCGAGCAGGUACGAAAGUAGGUCUUAGUGAUCCGGUGGUUCUGAAUGGAAGGGCCAUCGCUCAACGGAUAAAAGGUACUCCGGGGAUAACAGGCUGAUACCGCCCAAGAGUUCAUAUCGACGGCGGUGUUUGGCACCUCGAUGUCGGCUCAUCACAUCCUGGGGCUGAAGUAGGUCCCAAGGGUAUGGCUGUUCGCCAUUUAAAGUGGUACGCGAGCUGGGUUUAGAACGUCGUGAGACAGUUCGGUCCCUAUCUGCCGUGGGCGUUGGAAGAUUGAGAGGGGUUGCUCCUAGUACGAGAGGACCGGAGUGAACGCACCACUGGUGUUCGGGUUGUCAUGCCAAUGGCAUUGCCCGGUAGCUAAGUGCGGAAAAGAUAAGCGCUGAAAGCAUCUAAGCGCGAAACUUGCCUCAAGAUGAGUCUUCCCUGGGCCUUCAAGGCCCCUGAAGGAACGUUUAAGACUAAGACGUUGAUAGGCUGGGUGUGUAAGUGCAGCGAUGCAUUGAGCUAACCAGUACUAAUGAUCCGUGAGGCUUAACC
rnacentral:rRNA from 1 species